GGAACCUCCAUGUGCCAUGGGUGCAGCCCUAAAAAGGCAAAAAACAAAAAAACCCAGGCAUUAUCCCUGAGGAUGCGAGUUUGAUCCCUGGCAUUGCUCAGGAGCCACGGAUCGAGCCUGAAUCCUCCCUGGCCUACAGCUCAGAUCUGGGGUGGCUGUGGCUGUGGCUGUGGGGAAGGCUGGGAGCUGCAGCUCUGAUUGGACCCCUAGCCUGGAAACUAAAGAGUUUUAUUUCUUCCUUUCCUUUUCUUCUUUUAUUGCCUAAGUGCUCCGGCUAGGUCUUCCAAUACUAUGUUGAAUAAUCUCUAAAAUUUGACAAAAGGCAAAGUGGCCCCAAGAAAGUAGUUUGAAACUAAGUGUUGAGCACUCAUGGAUCAACUCCUUUUUAUGAAGCCCCAUGUGGGUAACACAGGCAGCAGAAAUGAUCCGAAGUUACUACUGCUGUGUUACAAACCACCUUAGAACUUAAAAGGCUUAUUAAACAGUAGUCACCUUCUCUCAGGGUUUCCAUGGGUUAAGAAUUUAGGAAAGGCUCUACCUGGCAGUUCUGACUCAGCAUCUGAUGCACUUACCCUUAGACAGUGGCUGGAGGUGGCUGGAAAAUUAGGGACUGGCUGUGCAUCUCCUUUGCUUGUAGUUUCAGGGCCUUUCAAUCUGGUCUCUCCACAUGGGCUGAUUGGGCUUCCUCAUAGCAUGGAUGCUUCAGGAUGGUAGAGCUUUUCUACAUGGUGGCUCGAGGACUGCCAGCUUGUGUGUUCCAACACACCAGCAGUAAGCUGCAUUGCCUUUUACAACCUAGCCUUGGAAGCCAUAUAGCAUUACUUUUGUCAUUAUCCAGUUACUUCUUGAUUUGGAGACAGUCAUAAACUUUACUGACACCUUAUAACUGCCACGUCCACCCUCAUGAAGACCAUCCCAGGUGGAAGGCAAGACCAGUCCAGAUGACACCAAGAGUAUGAGAAGACUCAAUUACCAUAGGAGAUAUGGUGGACUUUGCUCUUUGGCAGUGGCAAGACCUACCCCUCGCUCCCCCACCUCCUGAGUGUGGUGUUACAGGAGUUCACAUCAGUCUCCAACUUGGGCUACCUAAUAGUACCAGGUAACUAUUAGAUUUCUGAAAUACAGCUUUGUUAGUCACUGCAACUAUCACCUAAAAUGUGACAGGUUCUGAGGGUAGAUAAUCAGUGUGUUGAUGUCUGAAUGGAAUAUACAGUCUCCUGCAGGCACCUGAUGAGCAGAGUCCAGAACGCUAUGAUGACGCAAAUGUUCUAUAAUCGGCCCUCUGCAUGUGGGUGCUACCUACCCACAUGUGGCUACUGUACUGGCCAGCAAGGUCUAGAUGAAGGAUCUGACAAGAGAAAUAAAAUAAGCAAAGUACGAGGGGUGGCACAGACCCCCGAGUAAUGCUCUGGGGAUUCAGAGUAAGGGGGCCAGCCCACAGGCCAGCCUGACUCAGGUUUACUGGCCGAAUCCAAAGGAAUAAAAGGUCUCACUAGCCUCUAUCCCCCAGAGAAACCCCUGCUGAAACAGACUCUCCAAGGUCCUACAAUAAGGGACAGAGCCAAAAUGUCUAGCAUGGUGAGGGCAUUCACAGCUCUACUACGUCUGGUAGGCAGUGAAGGGUUAACUUUUAGGCAAGGGGAACUCCCUUUUCCAGUGGGAACUCCCACAGACAGGAGCUAUUUCAGUUCAAGGCAGGUGUGGGCACCCAAGGGCUGUGCCUCCUCUCCCCUGGAGAAGAGAAAAGGAAAUUCCUUACCACUCCGAACUGCAGCACAUUUUGAGGCCAAUAAUUAUGCUUCAUGUUUGUUUAUAGUUUUAAACAGAAAUUUAUUCUCAGAAUAAUGCACAAAAGCAGAGGUUGAGGCUGCCCUUGGGAGGCCUCCCUCCCUUCCCUGGGCGCCUCCGCUCCUCUCUGAAUGCCAGGGAGAACACAGUUGAAGGAAACAUGCAAUCACAAACAAUGA